CCUCCGCCUCCCAAAGUGCUGGGAUUACAGGUGUGAGUCACCACGCCCAGCAGCCUUCUGCUGCUUAACUAUACAGCCCAUUUUCUCUGCUCAGGAGCUCCCCACCAGGCAACUUCCAACCACUGAUCUCUUUGAUCCUAUCCCCAUUUGCCCAUGCAGCUGCUGGGUCUCCCUGAGGCUUUUCUGUGAAAUGCCCUUCAAGCACUAGGUGCCUGGCAGCCUGAGCAGGGACCACUGGAGGGAACUGUAGGACAGGCUGAGCAUAAGAGCUGCUUCCCAUCCCACAGACCUUCACCUGGCAAUCACCAAGGGACCUUUCCCAUGACCCUGGGCUAUCUCUCACUUCCACCUCUCCGUGCUCUGGGGCGACUCCAUCUCUGGCCUCAGAGUCUGGCCCUGUGGCCCAUACACUCCCAUCUCACCAGCCUGUCUAGGGAGGGGCACAAGCUGGCUGAGGUCAGAAGAGUUCUAUGGGUAUGGAUACCCCUAGGAUCUAGGGAAGCUGAGCUGAGUCCUGAGCUCCAGCCAUGUGUCCCAGAUCUACUUCAUCUGGGUGACAAGGACCCAGCGUCAGUUUGAGUGGCUGGCUGACAUCAUCCGAGAGGUGGAGGAGAACGACCACCAGGACCUGGUGUCUGUGCACAUCUACAUCACCCAGCUGGCUGAGAAGUUUGAUCUCAGGACUACCAUGCUGUACAUCUGCGAGCGGCACUUCCAAAAGGUUCUGAACCGGAGUCUAUUCACGGGCCUGCGCUCCAUCACCCACUUUGGCCGCCCCCCCCUUUGAGCCCUUCUUCAACUCCCUGCAGGAGGUCCACCCCCAGGUCCGGAAGAUUGGAGUGUUUAGCUGUGGCCCCCCUGGCAUGACCAAGAAUGUGGAAAAGGCCUGUCAGCUCAUAAACAGGCAGGACCGGACUCACUUCUCCCACCAUUAUGAGAACUUCUAGGCCCCCUGCCCAGGGACUCUGCCUACCACCCAGUUGAGCAGAGGUUUGGGCCCACACCUCAUUUCUGCUCUUCCUAUUUCUGGCUGCCUCAGCCUUCUCUCAUUUCUUACCUUUCAACCUUGUUCCAGGUGGCCACGGUCAGUCACCAUAUGUGGGCUCAGGGACCCCAGGAUGUGUCUCAACCUGGAGAAAUGGGGGGCAGUGUCUAGGAAUUAGAGAGAAGUAGGCGAGCUACUGGUUUGGGGCAAACUGAAACCUCUUCUUCGACUUCAAAACAAAACAAACAAAAACAACACACAAAAAAACCUCGAAAGACAAGCUGACCUGA